rnacentral:rRNA from 1 species
ACUAGACAGUAAGAGUUUGAUCAUGGCUCAGGACGAACGCUGGCGGCACGCCUAACACAUGCAAGUCGAACGGCCCCUUCGGGGGCGAGUGGCGGACGGGUGAGUAACGCGUGGGAACCUGCCCCUUGGUUCGGGACAACCCGGGGAAACCCGGGCUAAUACCGGAUGCGCUCCUGGCUUUGGCUGGGAGGAAAGAUUGAUCGCCGAGGGAUGGGCCCGCGUCGGAUUAGGUUGUUGGUGAGGUAACGGCUCACCAAGCCUACGAUCCGUAGCUGGUCUGAGAGGAUGAUCAGCCACACUGGGACUGAGACACGGCCCAGACUCCUACGGGAGGCAGCAGUGGGGAAUCUUGGACAAUGGACGCAAGUCUGAUCCAGCGAUGCCGCGUGAGCGAUGAAGGCCUUAGGGUUGUAAAGCUCUUUCGCCCGCGACGAUGAUGACGGUAGCGGGAGAAGAAGCCCCGGCUAACUCCGUGCCAGCCGCCGCGGUAAUAC